GACGAACGCUGGCGGCGUGCUUAACACAUGCAAGUCGAACGGAAAGGCCCUGCUUUUGUGGGGUGCUCGAGUGGCGAACGGGUGAGUAACACGUGAGUAACCUGCCCUUGACUUUGGGAUAACUUCAGGAAACUGGGGCUAAUACCGGAUAGGAGCUCCUGCUGCAUGGUGGGGGUUGGAAAGUUUCGGCGGUUGGGGAUGGACUCGCGGCUUAUCAGCUUGUUGGUGGGGUAGUGGCUUACCAAGGCUUUGACGGGUAGCCGGCCUGAGAGGGUGACCGGCCACAUUGGGACUGAGAUACGGCCCAGACUCCUACGGGAGGCAGCAGUGGGGAAUAUUGCACAAUGGGCGGAAGCCUGAUGCAGCAACGCCGCGUGCGGGAUGACGGCCUUCGGGUUGUAAACCGCUUUCGCCUGUGACGAAGCGUGAGUGACGGUAAUGGGUAAAGAAGCACCGGCUAACUACGUGCCAGCAGCCGCGGUGAUACGUAGGGUGCGAGCGUUGUCCGGAUUUAUUGGGCGUAAAGGGCUCGUAGGUGGUUGAUCGCGUCGGAAGUGUAAUCUUGGGGCUUAACCCUGAGCGUGCUUUCGAUACGGGUUGACUUGAGGAAGGUAGGGGAGAAUGGAAUUCCUGGUGGAGCGGUGGAAUGCGCAGAUAUCAGGAGGAACACCAGUGGCGAAGGCGGUUCUCUGGGCCUUUCCUGACGCUGAGGAGCGAAAGCGUGGGGAGCGAACAGGCUUAGAUACCCUGGUAGUCCACGCUGUAAACGGUGGGUACUAGGUGUGGGGUCCAUUCCACGGGUUCCGUGCCGUAGCUAACGCUUUAAGUACCCCGCCUGGGGAGUACGGCCGCAAGGCUAAAACUCAAAGGAAUUGACGGGGCCCCGCACAAGCGGCGGAGCAUGCGGAUUAAUUCGAUGCAACGCGUAGAACCUUACCUGGGUUUGACAUGGAUCGGGAGUGCUCAGAGAUGGGUGUGCCUCUUUUGGGGUCGGUUCACAGGUGGUGCAUGGCUGUCGUCAGCUCGUGUCGUGAGAUGUUGGGUUAAGUCCCGCAACGAGCGCAACCCUUGUUCACUGUUGCCAGCACGUUAUGGUGGGGACUCAGUGGAGACCGCCGGGGUCAACUCGGAGGAAGGUGGGGAUGACGUCAAGUCAUCAUGCCCCUUAUGUCCAGGGCUUCACGCAUGCUACAAUGGCUGGUACAAAGAGUGGCGAGCCUGUGAGGGUGAGCGAAUCUCGGAAAGCCGGUCUCAGUUCGGAUUGGGGUCUGCAACUCGACCUCAUGAAGACGGAGUCGCUAGUAAUCGCAGAUCAGCAACGCUGCGGUGAAUACGUUCCCGGGGCU
rnacentral:rRNA from 1 species